AGCAACAGCUCCAGGAAUCUCCUAGAUUAGUAAUCCAAGCAGAAAGAGAAACUUUGCUGCCCUAAUAGUUAUGUACCAUAACCCUGAAUAAAUACAUUAAUUUACUCUGCUCAGAUCAAGUGAAUACUCCUGAAUUUACUACUGCAAUUGGAGGAUGGGAUAUUAUGGUGAGAGGUAGGGGAAAAUGAAGCUCUGUGAUUUUCAGUUCUACCAAGAUCACAUGGAGUCCUGAUGAUGAAGAAUCCAAUAUAAGAAUGGGUUUUAUCUUUGAAUAAAAAUAUAAAGAUUUUUCAGAAUUAAUGAUGCAAAUUCUUAAAUCUGAAAGAAGUAAUUUGAAGGAGACAAACUUCAUUAGCACCUUGACAAAAGGAAAAUUAUCACUAUCUGUUGCAGGGACUAUAAGACUUCUUCCUCAGCCAGUGCCACUCUGUGAUUUAUUUUAGUGAAGUGCUCAGGAGGAAAAAUAAGUCUUUAAGCAGUAGUUUUAUUGAGAGAUAAAUAUAGUAUAUUCAUAUACUGUAAAAUUUACCCUGUUUAAGUAUACAGUUCAGUGGGUUUUGGUAUAUUUACAGAAUUGUGCAACCAUCGCCAUUAUCUAAUUUUAGAACAUUUUUAUCACCUCAAAAAAAAGCUUUAGCAGUCUCUCCCCAUAUUCCAAACCCCUGACACCCACCAGUCUACUUUCUGUCACUAUAGAUUUGGCUAUUCAGGACAUUUCAUAUGAAUAGAAUCAUAUAAUAUGUGGCCUUUUGUGAAUAGCUUCUUUCAUUUAGCAUAUUUUCAAGGUUCACCCCUGUUAAAGUAUGUGUCACUAUGUUCUUCUUUAUGGCUGAAUAAUAUUCCAUUUUGUGGCUGUACCCUCUUUGGUUUAUCCAUUCACCCAUUGAUGGACAUUUCAAUUAUUUUCAUUUCUGCUUUUUGGUUAUUUGAAUAAUCCUUUUGUAAACAUUUAUGUAUUUGUUUUUGUGUGGACAUAGGCUUUGCUUUUCCUGGAUACAUUCUGAGGAGUGGAAUUGCUAUAUCAUUUGGUAACUCUACAUUUAACAUUUGAGGAACUAGGGAAAUCAGUCUUGAUGGUUUUAUCAAUGGUGCAUUCGAAUAGGUCUGUGUGUCCUAACAGAAAAGAAAAACACAUUGCUCCAGCUCUUUUCCCUUUACCACAGGAAAUAAUCUGUUCCAAAUGCUACAUGUAAUCAUUUAUCUAAUACUCCCAAAAUUAUCAAGGCUGAAGUAGACUCUCUGAGAGUCAGUCCAUUCCAUCAGUCUGUGCCAAGCAAAAGACCCUGCUUGCAGUUUUUUAUAUGCUAAAGACAAUGGGCAGGAAAGAAACACAGAGUUAAAUGAAAAUAUAAACCAAAAUAAAAUCUGCAGUUCCAUUUUUUAUAAUUCAGGUGCCAGUUCAGGAACUUCUCAAGGUAUUCCAAGCAGAAAUGGAUUAUUUCGGGAGAUUAGGCAAUUUCAUGCCAUUAAAAGGCCUUGAGGGAUAGAAAUUAGAGGGUACAUGCCAGCCUUUUGGUUUAAAGGUGGCAUAUCUCCACCUUUCUGAUCCAGACGUUAAAAACUGCUAAGAUCACCCAGAAAUGAGGACAUUAUGAGAAUAUAUCUGAGCCUCCCUGCACCGCAGAGUUUUAGUAAAUAGACAGGGACAUAGAGUUCAGAGGCUGCCAAUUCAUGUCUACCCUCAACAUUGUUUCCCCCUGCACUGUCAUGGGAAGAAGAAUAGCCUCUUCUCUCAUUUCCUUCCGAAUCUCAUACGACUGCGCAUCAUCAGCGGAACUGAAAUCAUGUGGAAGCCUGGGGAGUGCAGUCUUUAGCAUCCCAGCCCUGCAGUUAAGGAAGACAGGAUAUAGAAGGUGGGAGAAUUGGUGGCCCAGUGCCAGCAGACAAUAUCUAGCAGAUCUUUACAUCUAAAUUGCCAUUUACAAUCUAAAUUGCCAUUAACAAGUCAUCGACAUUUUAUUUAUGUACAUGGCAAAGGUUAAUAUUUAAGGGCUCUCUAGUGGAAUAUCAGGCCAACAUAUUGUCAACUGCUGAAGUUAGUCAUUCUUCUUUCUCCAUUUGUCUCAUCCUAUCCCAUUACUCUCUUAACUUAGUUUCUCUUUCCAAUUGUUUUCUAAAUCCACUCACUAAUGUAGGACAACCAGUACCUAAAAUAGGGUUUAUUAUAUAACAGAAAAUUUAUAAAUAUUAGUUAUUUGAAUGAAUGAGUACUUUAUUCAGUUGUAAUGACUAGUUUCAUAUGUCAACUUGACUGGGCCACAGAGUGCCCAUAUUAAACAUUAUAUCUGGGUGUAUCUGUAAGGAAGUUUCCCGAUGAGAUCAGCAUUUGAGUCAGGGGACUCAUGAAAGUAGAUUGUACUCACCAAUAUAGGUGGGCACCAUCCAACAUCCAAUCUUUUGGGGGCCAAAAUAGAACAGAAGAUGGAGGAAGGAGGAAUUUGCCCAUCCCUGCCCCUCUUUUUUUCUGUCUAACUGCUUGACUUCGGAGAGCUCAUCUCAUCUUUUCCUGCCUUUGUAAAUGGGAUUUACACCAUCGGCUUCUCUGGUUCUGAGGCCUUCAGACUUAGGCUGAAUUUCACCACUGGCUUUCUGGGAUCUCCAGCUUGCAGAUGGCAGACUGUGGGACUUCUCAGUCUCCAUGAUCACAUGAACCAAUUCCUCGUAAUAAAAUUCUUUUUUAAGUCUUAUAUAUCUUCUUUCAUAUGUAAAUAAAAUAAAUUUCCAUUUACACAUAUAAAUUAUAUAUAGAUAUAGCUCCUAUUGGUUCUAUUUCUCUGGAAAACCCUGACUUAGGCUAGCAUUCUCUCUAGUAUUGCUCCUUUCCCCAGGCAUUUUUGGUCUCUUGAUUUCUGUAACCUUAGGUAGGACUACGUUAAGUCAGCAGCAUUCUCUUACCAUUUUGGGUGCUUAAAUAAUGCCUGCAGCUUCUAUUCACAAGUUUAGGGUCAGGCGGUGAUUCUUAAUUGAAGCUAUUUGGCCACCCAGAGGACAUUUGGCAAUGAUGUGUAAAGACAUUUUUGGUUGGAGGAAGUGUUACUGGCAACUAGAGAAUAAAGAUCAAGGAUGGUGCUAAACAUUUUACCGUGUGCAGAAUAGCCCUAAAAAAUUGUCAGGCCCGGCCGGGCACGGUGGCUCACGCCUGUAAUCCCAGUACUUUGGGAGGCCAAGGCGGGUGGAUCACGAGGUCAGGAGAUCAAGACCAUCCUGGCUAACACGGUAAAACUCCGUCUCUGCUAAAAGUACAAAAAAAAUUAGCCGGGCUUGGUGGCGGGCGCCUGUAGUCCCAGCUACUCAGGAGGCUGAGGCAGGAGAAUGGCGUGAACCCGGGAGGCGGAGCUUGCAGUGAGCGGAGAUCGUGCCACUGCACUCCAGCCUGGGCUACAGAGCGAGACUCCGUCUAAAAAAAAAAAAAAAUUGUCAGGCCCCAAAAGUGAAUUGUGAUGAGGUUGAGAAACUCUGGGUUAGAGUGCAGAAGAAGAAGAAAAAAGAACUUUAGGAGGCUGAAGCAGGAGGACUGCUUGAGGUCAGGAGUUUGAAACCAGCGUGGGCAACAUAGUGAGAUGCUGUCUCUACAAAAAAUUAGCCUGGGGUGGUGGCACAUGCCUGUGGUCUCAGCUACUUGGGAGGUUGAGGCAGGAGGGUCACUUAGGCCCAGGAGAUCAAGACUGUGGUGAGCCAUGAUCUUUCCACUGCACUCCAGCCUGGGCGACAGAGCAAGAUUCUAUCAAAAAAAAAAAAAGAAUUGAAUGCAAAAGGAGGGAAGGAGUAAAGAUGAUAUCUAGCAGGGGUCACCAAACUUUCUGUAAUGGGCCAGAUGGUGAAUAUUUUAGUCUUUGUGGGCCAUAAAAUCUAUUGCAAUUACUCAGCACUGCUGUUGUAGCAGGAAAAGCAGCCAUAAUCCAUACAUAAAUGAAUGUAUGUGCUGUGUUCCAAUAAAACUUUAUUUAAGGAUGCCGACAUUUAUUUAAAU
rnacentral:lncRNA from 10 species